rnacentral:rRNA from 1 species
AUGCGUGGCUUCGGUAGGCAAAGAAUCGCGUGGCACAAUGGCUUCAAGGUGCUCCAGCUGCGCUACGAGCAAGGCCGCCCCUUGCCCGCGCAGUCGCAGCCACAGCCGAUCUACUCAAUGUGUGUCUUCCUCCCCGACGCGCGUGAUGGGCUGUGUUGGUUGGCCAACCAGAUCGCUUGCGACCCUGACUUUUUGUGCAAGCACCUGCCGAGGAGCGACGUCGAGGUCGACGACUUCCGGCUGCCUACAUUCAAGGUCAGCUUUGACAUGACUAUGAACGACAUUCUCCGCGACAUGGGGCUCAAGGAGGCUUUAGAGCCGGGGAAGGCCGACCUGUCUGAUGUGGCCGAGGACGGGACGGGGGAAAGGAGGAGGCUGGCCCUACAGGAAGUGAUCCACCGAGCCAUCAUCGAGGUGAACAAGGAAGGCACCGAGGCCGCGGCUGCCACUGUGAUGAUUACGUGUAGCACGACUAGUGCCCUACCUCCGAUGUCGCGGCGUGUGGCCUUUGUUGCUGACCAUCCUUUUGCUUUCUUUGUCAUCGAGGAGGUGUCGGGUGCGAUCAUGUUCGCGGGCACGUUGUUGACCCCACUAUCAAUUGAGGGGGAGGGAGGACCGAACAUGCAUCCUUCGGUUUAUGUAUGGAUUUUUUUCUUUGAAAAUGCCAAAUGCUAUAUAAUAGUAACAUGA